CUAGGACUACAGCCGCUUGCCGCCACACCCAGCUAAUUUUUUUUAUCUUUUGUAGAAACAGGGUUUCACCAUAUUGCCCAGGCUUGUCUUGAACUCCUGGGAUCAAGCAACCUGCCCGCCUCGGCUUCCCAAAGUGCCAUGAUUACAGUGUGAGCUACUGCACCCGGCCUCAUAUGAUUUUGAAUAAGGCAUUUGCUUUAUGCUUUACAAGGUACUAGUAGUAAAAACUGUUUAGAGUGAUGUACAUAAAGAACAGUUCAGACACAAAUGUAAGACCUGAAGCUAUAAAACUACUAGAAGAAAACAGGUAAACCACUUCAGGACAUUGGGUCUAGGCAAAGAUUUUAUGGCUAAGACCUCAAAAGCACAAACAGCAAAGACAAAAAUAGCCAAAUUGGACUAUAUUAAACUAAAAAGCUCAGCAAAGGAAACAGCAGAGUGAAGAGAUAACCUGUUGUAUGGAAGAAAAUAUUUACAAACUAUUAAUCCAACAAGGGACUAAUGUUGAGAGUAUACAAGGAACUUAAAAGUAAAACAAAAAUAACCCCAUUAAAAGUGGUCAAGCGAUGUGAAUAGACAUUUCUCAGAAGAAGACACAAAUGCCCAAUAAGUAUAUGAAAAAUGUGUAAUAUCACUAAUCAUCAGAAAGAUGCAAAUGAAAACCACAGUAAGGUAUCACCUAUGACAGAGUGGUUAUUACGAAAAUAACAGAUGCUGGUAAGGAUGCAGAAGAAAUUCUUUUAUACUGUCAGUGGGAUUGUAAAUUAAUACAGCCUCUAUGGAAACACAGUAUUUCUCAAAAAACUAAAAGAACUGCCAUAUGAUCUGUCAAUCCCACUAAUGGGUAUUUAUUCAAAGGAAAAGAAAUCAGUUCAAUGCAGCACUAUUCACAGUGGCAAAGAACAGAAUCAACUUACGUGUCCGUCAACAGAUGAAUGGAUAAAGAAAAUGUGUUACCUAUGCACAAUGAAUACUAUUGGCCACAAAAAAGAAUGAAAUCAUUUCCUCUGCAGAAACAUGGAAGUACCUCUUGACUUGCUACUGGUACCUGGAAGAGAUGUAACACCUGACCAUGGGACAUCAAGUGACUGUGUGAAUCAAACUGCCCAUCAUGAAUUGUUGUUAUUUGACUCAUCAAACUGUACAACUGGAUGAACACAGGAGCAGUGCACUACAUAUGGGACUGGAACCAUGAAUGAGCAGGUGACUCAGACUCCUAUAGUACCUGCCUCUACUCCUUCAGCACUUCUCCCUCAACCCACAUAAACUGUCAUCAUAAUGAGUUCCCUCUGACCAGUUAAUGGAAGAGAAAAAAGUAUGGAUGUUAUGGAUAUCCUAACAUAUUUCUGGCCAUUGGACCCCUAGAAACCUGUGGCAAGUCCUGGAAGUUUUUCAAGGUUCAUCUUGCACCUUCUAGCAUGCAUAUGUCGUACCAAAGCAUGUAGAAUGCUGCCUACUUCUGCUCUUCAGUUUCAUUUAAUAUAAUUUCAUUACUCUGAUAAAUCAGUGUGAUGUUCUAUGGAAUAACAAAAGACCAUCAAGGUCCCUUCAUACCAUAUAGAGAACAGGAGAGUUGAUGUAGCCUGAGACAAGACAGUAAGGACUUACUGUUAUCCCUCCUAUUUAAACGUAGUCUGUUUCUGAUUCUCCUUAGAAUGGGGGUGGGGGGACAUUUCCAGAUCAAUAUCAGAUCAGUAUCAUGUCAACAUGGGUAUUAAUUUCUUCCGAAGAAGAUACCACACCUAGAACAGCAACCAUAAUUGGCAUCCCUACCUAAUUAAAGUUUGCAGUCCACUGUCAUUCUUC
rnacentral:lncRNA from 1 species